UACGGAGGGUGCGAGCGUUGUCCGGAAUCACUGGGCGUAAAGGGCGCGUAGGCGGUCCGGUAAGCGUGUGGUGAAAGCCCGGGGCUCAACCCCGGGUCUGCCGUGCGAACUGCCGGACUCGAGCACUGUAGAGGCAGGUGGAAUUCCGAGUGUAGCGGUGGAAUGCGUAGAGAUUCGGAGGAACACCGGUGGCGAAGGCGGCCUGCUGGGACGUUACUGACGCUGAGACGCGAAAGCAUGGGGAGCAAACAGG
rnacentral:rRNA from 1 species